AGUGAACGCUGGCGGUAGGCCUAACACAUGCAAGUCGAACGGCAGCACAGUAAGAUCUUGCUCUUACGGGUGGCGAGUGGCGGACGGGUGAGGAAUACAUCGGAAUCUACUUUUUCGUGGGGGAUAACGUAGGGAAACUUACGCUAAUACCGCAUACGACCUACGGGUGAAAGCAGGGGAUCUUCGGACCUUGCGCGAUUGAAUGAGCCGAUGUCGGAUUAGCUAGUUGGCGGGGUAAAGGCCCACCAAGGCGACGAUCCGUAGCUGGUCUGAGAGGAUGAUCAGCCACACUGGAACUGGGACACGGUCCAGACUCCUACGGGAGGCAGCAGUGGGGAAUAUUGGACAAUGGGCGCAAGCCUGAUCCAGACAUACCGCGUGGGUGAAGAAGGCCUUCGGGUUGUAAAGCCCUUUUGUUGGGAAAGAAAAGCAGCAGGUUAAGACCCCGCUGUUCUGACGGUACCCAAAGAAUAAGCACCGGCUAACUUCGU
rnacentral:rRNA from 1 species